GAUGAACGCUGGCGGCGUGCCUAAUACAUGCAAGUCGAGCGAACAGAUGAGGAGCUUGCUCCUCUGACGUUAGCGGCGGACGGGUGAGUAACACGUGGAUAACCUACCUAUAAGACUGGGAUAACUUCGGGAAACCGGAGCUAAUACCGGAUAAUAUAUUGAACCGCAUGGUUCAAUAGUGAAAGACGGUUUUGCUGUCACUUAUAGAUGGAUCCGCGCCGCAUUAGCUAGUUGGUAAGGUAACGGCUUACCAAGGCAACGAUGCGUAGCCGACCUGAGAGGGGGAUCGGCAACACUGGAACUGAGACACGGUCCAGACUCCUACGGGAGGCAGCAGUAGGGAAUCUUCCGCAAUGGGCGAAAGCCUGACGGAGCAACGCCGCGUGAGUGAUGAAGGUCUUCGGAUCGUAAAACUCUGUUAUUAGGGAAGAACAAAUGUGUAAGUAACUAUGCACGUCUUGACGGUACCUAAUCAGAAAGCCACGGCUAACUACGU
rnacentral:rRNA from 1 species